UGGGCAGGUCCUCACUAGAGGAGAUAUGUUCACUCUUGGGUUAUCACAAGACAUCAAUGGGCUGAUGUUGAACUCCUGUUUGAAAGCUGUUGAAAGAAUGUGCAGCGACAAGGGUGUCAAGGUUUUUGCAGGAAACAGUCAUGUAGUACAAACCUGGUUUCCACCUCUUUCCCUUGACCCAGCC